AUGCACGCUGGCGGCGUGCCUAAUACAUGCAAGUCGAGCGAACAGAUGAGGAGCUUGCUCCUCUGACGUUAGCGGCGGACGGGUGAGUAACACGUGGAUAACCUACCUAUAAGACUGGGAUAACUUCGGGAAACCGGAGCUAAUACCGGAUAAUAUAUUGAACCGCCUGGUUCAAUAGUGAAAGACGGUUUUGCUGUCACUUAUAGAUGGAUCCGCGCCGCAUUAGCUAGUUGGUAAGGUAACGGCUUACCAAGGCAACGAUGCGUAGCCGACCUGAGAGGGUGAUCGGCCACACUGGAACUGAGACACGGUCCAGACUCCUACGGGAGGCAGCAGUAGGGAAUCUUCCGCAAUGGGCGAAAGCCUGACGGAGCAACGCCGCGUGAGUGAUGAAGGUCUUCGGAUCGUAAAACUCUGUUAUUAGGGAAGAACAAAUGUGUAAGUAACUAUGCACGUCUUGACGGUACCUAAUCAGAAAGUCACGGCUAACUACGUG
rnacentral:rRNA from 1 species